GGGCCCGCACAAGCGGUGGAGCAUGUGGAUUAAUUCGAUAAUGACCGAAGAACCUUACCCAGGUUUGACAUGUCAGUGCCUUACCCGUAACGGGGUAUUCUUGUAGAAAUACAAGCACUGUCACCGCUGUUGCAUGGCUGUCGUCAGCUCGUGCCGUGAGGUGUUGGGUUAAGUCCCGCAACGAGCGCAACCCGCGUUCCAUUUUGCCAACAGGUAAUGCUGGGAACUAUUGGAAGACCGCCUGGGUAACCAGGAGGAAGGGGCGGACGACGUCAAGUCAGCAUGGCGCUUACGCCUGGGGCCUCACACAUGCUACAAUGGGCGCAACAGAGGGAUCCGAAGCCGCGAGGUAGAGGCAACCCCCAAAGGCGCCCUCAGUUCGGAUCGCAGUCUGCAACUCGACUGCGUGAAGUUGGAAUCGCUAGUAAACGCGGAUCAGCUAAGCCGCGUUGAAUACGUUCCCGGGCCUU
rnacentral:rRNA from 1 species